GAAUCACUGUGGCAACUGUACUUUUCUAUAGGCCCUUCAAAUUUGUUAAACAUGACAUUAAACAGAUUUGUGAAAAAGUGUAAGAGAGACCUGUCUCGAUACCUGUCCUGACUGACAGUCUCACUCGGCAUGUGCCAUCCAGAGCCAAGAACCUGUUUGCAUCAUUAAGCAUGUGUGCUUUAAAAACAGUUCCAGAGGUGUGGCAAAUUGCAUAUUUCCCUCCCAUCCAGUCCUACCUCUACGCCCACCACGUAACUCUGAAGCAUGACCUUUCACCGGAGAUGCCAGCCACAUCAUUAUCCCUUCAGACUUUCCAUGAAGACAGAGAAUGAGACAUCACUUUUAUCUAUACGCCUGGACUGAGGGAUUACAUUCUGCCUGCCUAAAUCUUGUUUUUCACAGUUUUAGUUAGGUAUUCUUCCUGUCCCAGUACUUGCACAAGGUUUGCUGUCCACGGUGAAGCCGUUGCAGCAUUUCACGCUGAAGGUGACCUCAGGCGAUACAGCAGGUACAGCAGCUCCUCUGGGGUACUCACUUGUACAUCACUGCCCACUUAGGUUUUGGCAUCGUGAUGCAUCCAUGCACUUACAGAGGCAGAUCUUCCCCUCCGUUCUCGUGGUGCACUUUGGGUACAGAUGAGUAAUACACAUGACUAGCUCAAUUCUGGAAAUUGUCAUUUCUGCUAGUAAGAUCUCAUAAAUCCCACAUAAUUUUCGCACUAGCACCACAAGGGUCUCUGUUUUCCUCGGCUUUCAACAGGAUGACCUCUGUAUUUGCAUUCCUAAUAAUAUAGUUAACACACAGUCUACUUGGCACCUUGCACCUCACAGCCACCAAGAGCCAUUUCCUUUAUGGUAGCAUGUUUUUUUAUGAAGUUGAAUUGGUUCUUAGCACACUUUUGACUUAAUCACAAGCACAGUGGUUUCUUUCCAUGUUAUGUGAUUACGUGUUUUUUUUGUUUGUUUGUUUGUUUGUUUUCUUUUUGAGGAUGGAGAAAGGCAAAGACUUCUGGGAGGGAGCUCUAAGAGUGAUUGCAUUUUUCCUAAUCGUAGCUUGCUGUUGGGAUGAUGCAGGAAUAAAAAGGAAUAGAGGACCAGGAGUCAUCCUGAACAACAUCUGGUGAGAAAGGCUGCCAAUUAUUCUCCAAGUUUGACGCACGGUUAGCUUGGUAACGUGUUACCAGAAAAAUCCAACUCUGCUAAAAGCACAGCAGACAUGUCUAAGAAGAGGGAUUCUUGCAUUUCGCAGAAGUUGCACUGCAAGCAGCGCAGAGAGGAGGUUGGGAUGCUCCCCCUGAUCAGUCCCCUCCCAGUACACGGGACCCUGCAGCUACAGCCAGGUCAUACAUACAGAAGAUCCCAAGGCUGGAGUCCCUCUCACAGCCACAUCGAUUGACAUCAGAUUGCUCAAUUAGUUUGACACCCCCAGGCAAGAGAGUGUUUUAAGUGGAUGUUCUGGUGGAAGUUGUCUUCCACACCCAGGAGCAGAUCAGGUUGAUUGUCAUUAUCAAUUUCAACCCUCCCGCAGCUCAAACCAAACCAUGUAAGCCUUGGACAUCUAGGCUAGGAGCUUUAGUUUUA
rnacentral:lncRNA from 1 species